rnacentral:tRNA from 1 species
CGGGGUAUAGCGCAGCCCGGUAGCGCGCUUCGUUCGGGACGAAGAGGUCGUGAGUUCAAAUCUCGCUACCCCGA